GACGAACGCUGGCGGCGUGCUUAACACAUGCAAGUCGAACGGAAAGGCCCUGCUUGCAGGGUACUCGAGUGGCGAACGGGUGAGUAACACGUGGGUGAUCUGCCCUGCACUUCGGGAUAAGCCUGGGAAACUGGGUCUAAUACCGGAUAGGAGCCAUUUUUAGUGUGAUGGUUGGAAAGUUUUUUCGGUGUAGGAUGAGCUCGCGGCCUAUCAGCUUGUUGGUGGGGUAAUGGCCUACCAAGGCGGCGACGGGUAGCCGGCCUGAGAGGGUGGACGGCCACAUUGGGACUGAGAUACGGCCCAGACUCCUACGGGAGGCAGCAGUGGGGAAUAUUGCACAAUGGGCGCAAGCCUGAUGCAGCGACGCCGCGUGGGGGAUGACGGCCUUCGGGUUGUAAACUCCUUUCGCUAGGGACGAAGCUUUCUGUGACGGUACCUAGAGAAGAAGCACCGCCUAACUACGUG
rnacentral:rRNA from 1 species